GAUGAACGCUAGCGGCAGGCCUAAUACAUGCAAGUCGUACGGCAACACAGUUGCGAGCAAUCGCAACCGGUGGCGAGUGGCGCACGGGUGAGUAACGCGUAUGUAACCUACCCUUCUCCGGGACAUAACUCCGCGAAAGCGGUGCUAAUAUCCCAUACCAACUCAUCAAGACAUCUUCUUGAGUUGAAAGCAGCAAUGCGGUGAAGGAUGGGCAUGCGUCCCAUUAGCUGGUUGGUGAGGUAAUGGCCCACCAAGGCGACGAUGGGUAGCCGGCCUGAGAGGGUGAACGGCCACACUGGGACUGAGACACGGCCCAGACUCCUACGGGAGGCAGCAGUAGGGAAUAUUGGGCAAUGGGCGAAAGCCUGACCCAGCCAUGCCGCGUGAAGGAAGACGGCCUUAUGGGUUGUAAACUUCUUUACUACGCGAAUAGAGGUUAGUACGAGAUACUAAUAGGAAGGUAGUGUAGUAAAAAGCAACCGGCUAAACUCCGUAGCCC
rnacentral:rRNA from 1 species